rnacentral:lncRNA from 1 species
CAGUGUCCUCAGGGUGAUGGUGGUGGCCUCGGUGGCCCCACGCUCACUCUGUCCCUAGGGAGUGGUGUCCCCGGUGUCCCCAGGGUGAUGGUGAUGACCGUGGUGGCCCCACACUCACCCUGUCCCCAGGGUGAUGGUGACGACCCCGGUGGCCCCGCACUCGCCCUGCCUCCAGGAGGGUGGCGUCCCCGGGGCGACGGUGGUGGCCUCGGUGGCCCCGCGCUCACCCUGUCCCCGCAGUGGUGUUCGGGGAACACUCCCUGCUCGUCACCGUCUCCGGGCAGAAGCUCUUCGUGGUGAAGCGCCAGAACCACGUCCAGGAGCCCGUCGCCGUGUGAGCCGCCCCGGAGGCCGGCCCGCGUCCCCGCUGUCCCCAGGGCCCUGCGGUGACACCUACCCGGGUCGCUGCCGUCCCCAAGACCUUCCCAGGUGGACGGUCCCCCACAUCUCUGCUGUCCCCAGGGCCCUGUGGUGUCCCCCGACCAUGUCCCUGCUGUCCCCAGGGCCCCGUGGUGACACCCACCCGUGUCUCUGCUGUCCCCCCCCCCCCCCCCCCCCGGCAGCA